AAUCUGAAUUUUGAGAGGGAAGG
rnacentral:piRNA from 1 species